rnacentral:rRNA from 1 species
ACGGGUGAGUAACACGUGGGCAAUCUGCCCUGCACUCUGGGACAAGCCCUGGAAACGGGGUCUAAUACCGGAUACGACCUUCCUCUGCAUGGGGGUUGGUGGAAAGCUCCGGCGGUGCAGGAUGAGCCCGCGGCCUAUCAGCUUGUUGGUGGGGUAAUGGCCUACCAAGGCGACGACGGGUAGCCGGCCUGAGAGGGCGACCGGCCACACUGGGACUGAGACACGGCCCAGACUCCUACGGGAGGCAGCAGUGGGGAAUAUUGCACAAUGGGCGAAAGCCUGAUGCAGCGACGCCGCGUGAGGGAUGACGGCCUUCGGGUUGUAAACCUCUUUCAGCAGGGAAGAAGCGCAAGUGACGGUACCUGCAGAAGAAGCACCGGCUAACUACGUGCCAGCAGCCGCGGUAAUACGUAGGGUGCGAGCGUUGUCCGGAAUUAUUGGGCGUAAAGAGCUCGUAGGCGGCCUGUCGCGUCGGAUGUGAAAGCCCGGGGCUUAACCCCGGGUCUGCAUUCGAUACGGGCAGGCUAGAGUGUGGUAGGGGAGAUCGGAAUUCCUGGUGUAGCGGUGAAAUGCGCAGA